UGGAGGGGCUGUGUUUAUUAGAUACAAAACCAACCCACUUUGUGGAGUCCUGGUGAUUCAUAGUAACCGAACGGAUCGCAGUUGGCUUCGGCCCGCGAUGGAUCUUUCAAGUUUCUGACCUAUCAGCUUUCGACGGUAGGGUAUUGGCCUACCGUGGCAGUGACGGGUAACGGGGAAUUAGGGUUCGAUUCCGGAGAGGGAGCCUGAGAAACGGCUACCACAUCUAAGGAAGGCAGCAGGCGCGCAAAUUACCCAAUGAAAACAGUUUCGAGGUAGUGACGAGAAAUAACAAUACAGGGCAUUUUAUGCUCUGUAAUUGGAAUGAUGGGAAUGUAAAACCCUUUCAGAGUAACAAUUGGAGGGCAAGUCUGGUGCCAGCAGCCGCGGUAAUUCCAGCUCCAAUAGUGUAUAUUAGAGUUGUUGCAGUUAAAAAGCUCGUAGUUGGAUUUCUGUCGUGGUCAUCCGGUACCGCCCGUAUGGGUGUGCACCUGGUUUGCCCUCGGCUUUCUUCCGGUAGCCUUCGCCGCUUAACUGCGUGCGUUGGUGUUCCGGAACUUUUACUUUGAGAAAAAUAGAGUGUUUCAAGCAGGCUUGUCGCCCUGAAUACUUCAGCAUGGAAUAAUAAGAUAGGACCCUGGUUCUAUUUUGUUGGUUUCUAGGACCGAGGUAAUGAUUAAUAGGGACAGUUGGGGGCAUUCGUAUUUAACUGUCAGAGGUGAAAUUCUUAGAUUUGUUAAAGACGAACUACUGCGAAAGCAUUUGCCAAGGAUGUUUUCAUUAAUCAAGAACGACAGUAGGGGGUUUGAAGACGAUUAGAUACCGUCGUAAUCUCUACCAUAAACUAUGCCGACUAGAGAUAGGGAAAUGCCUACCUUGGCUUCUCCUGCACCUCAUGA
rnacentral:rRNA from 1 species